GCGGAAUUUUAGAUAAUGGAGGGAACUCUGAUCUAGCGACGCCGCGUGCAGGAAGAAGGUCUUCGGAUUGUAAACUGCUGUGGUAAGGGAAAAAUGCUAUGUAGAGUGGAAAGCUACAUAGAGGGAUGGUACCUUACUAGAAAGCCCCGGCUAACUACGUGCCAGCAGCCGCGGUAAUACGUAGGGGGCGAGCGUUACCCGGAAUCACUGGGCGUAAAGGGAGCGUAGGUGGCCUAACAUGUCAACUGUGAAAACCCGGAGCUCAACUCCGGACUUGCAGUUGAAACUGGUAGGCUUGAGGACGGUAGAGGAAGACGGAACUGCCAGUGUAGGGGUAAAAUCCUUAGAUAUUGGCAGGAACGCUGGUGACGAAGGUGGUUUUCUGGGCCGGUUCUGACACUGAUGCUCGAAAGCCAGGGGAGCGAACGG
rnacentral:rRNA from 1 species